ACUUUGCACCCUGAAGUUGAUCAAAUAAAUCAUCAAUUCUUGGCAGUGGGUACUUGUUCUUAAUAGUAACUUUAUUCAACUGCCGAUAGUCGACACACAUUCUAAGAGACCCAUCUUUCUUCUUGACAAACAGGACCGGGGCACCCCACGGUGAAACACUCAGCCUGAUGAAGCCCUUGUCAAGAAGGUCUUUCAACUGUUCUCUUAACUCAUUAAGUUCUGCUGGAGCCAUCCUAUAAGGAGGUUUAGAUAUGGGUUGAGUGCCUGGCAUGAGAUCAGUGCCGAAGUCUAUUAUUCUUUUGGGAGGAAGUCCGGGAAGGUCAUCUGGGAAAACUUCUAGAAAUUCUCUAACAACUGGCACUGACUGAAGAGCUGGUGGUUCUGAUUCUGGAUUAAUAAUGUGAGCCAAGAGGUCAUCUGGGAAAACUUCUAGAAAUUCUCUAACAACUGGCACUGACUGAAGAGCUGGUGGUUCUGAUUCUGGAUAAAUAAUGUAGGCCAAGUAGGCGAGACACCCCUUACCGAUCAUUUGUUGUGCCUUAAGGUAAGAAAUAAGCUUACCUACAAGCGAUGCUGAACUACCCUUCCACUCUAGGACAUCUUCAUUUGGAAAUUGGAACUUGACUAUCUUAGCAUGACAAUCUAACAUUGCAUAGUAGAAAGACAACCAAUCCAUACCCGUUAUUACAUCGAAAUCCACCAUUUCUAAUUCCAUGAGAUCGGCCUUGGUGUUGCGACCUUGGACUGAAACUAUAUAACUUCUAUAGACUCUUGUACUCGCCAACUAGAGUAGAUACUAGGAAUGGCUCACUAAGUUGUUCAGUAACUAGACCGAGGUUAAUUACAAAGUAUGGAGUCACAUAUGAAAACGUUGAACCUGGAUCCAUUAUGGCAUAAGCAUUAUGUGACCAGACUAAAGGUAUACCUGUUAUAACUUCUGCAGAUG
rnacentral:lncRNA from 1 species